AAGAAAGAAAUGACAUCAUAUCCUUUGCAGGGACAUGGAUGGAGCUGGAAGCCGUUACCCUCAGCAAACUAAUGCAGGAACUGAAAACCAAAUACCACAUGGUGUCACUUAUAAGUGGGAGCCGAAUGAUGAGAGCACAUGGACACAUGGUAGAACCCUGCCAGCGUUCCCAGGAGCCGCAGGACCCCAGAGAUGUUCCCAGCUGCAUGAUCCCGGGCAUCAGCUGAGGGCAAGUCAUCCUCUCUAAGGCUUUGAGUUGUGCAGGCUCCUUGGCUGCCUCAGCACCUCCCUCAAAGCAAAGUCCUCCCACCUUGGAGUUCAGCCCAUCAAGCCUUCCACCUACCCAGCUGCCUCAGUCACCAUCAGAGUCCAUGUCUGAAUAUCACCACCACUGGCUGGAUUGUUCUGAAUAUUCUCUAAUCUAACCUCAUUCCCACCCAUCUCCAUCCUCCCAAAUUAUUCCAAAAUGUCCCUUUGCAAUUCAUAGUUCAUCAUCAAUAAAGUCCCAGUGUAUCUUCAACCUCUCACCUAAAUAUUCCAUUCCGCUUCUUGCUCUAACUCGGGAGUUGGAAAACAUUUUUUUGUAAUGGGCCAGAUAGUAAAUAUUUUAGGCUUUGCAGGCCACAUCAUCUCCAUUGUCAUUGUUACUUGAAAGGGGUCCCAAUCCAGACACCAAGAGAGGGUGCUUGUAUCUUGUGCAGGAAGGAAUUCAGGGUGAGUCUGUAAAGUGAAAGCAAGUUUAUUGGAAAAGUAAAGAACACAAAAGAAUGGCUACUCUAUAGGCAGAGCAGCCCCGAGGGCUGCUGGUUGGUUAUCUUUAUGGUUAUUUCUUGAUCAUAUGCUAAACAAGGGGUGGAUUAUUCAUGAGUUUUCUGGGAAAGAGGUGGGAUUUUCCCAGGAACUGAGGGUUCCUCCCCUUUUCAGACCAUAUAGAAUAAUUUCCGGGUGUUGCCAUGGCAUCUGUAAACUGCCAUGGUGCUGGUGGGAGUGUCUUUUAGCAUGUGAAUGUAUUAUAGUUAGUGUAUAAUGAGCACUUUUGUCACCAUCUUGGAUUUGGUGGGUUUUGGCCAGCUUCUUUACUGCCUCCUGUUUUAUUGACAGGGUCUGUGUGACCCGUAUCUUGUGUGACCUGUAUCUUAUGCCGACCUCCUAUCUCAUCCAGUGACCAAGAAUGCCUAACCUCCUGAGAACGCAGCCCACAGUCUCAUGCUCAGAUGUCUCUGCUUGGGGAAACCAUGUUGUGAGCAAACCAACAGUGGGGGCCGUGUGGAGAGGAAGCCUCCUGCCAACGCCUUGCAAGUGAGCUUGCAAGUGGAUCCUCCAGCCCGAUGUCAAGAAUUCAGAGAGUAUGGCCUCAGCCAACAGCCUGAGAAACCCUGGCCCAGACCAUCCAGCCGGGUCAUCGCAGAUUCCCAACCCUCAGACAGCAUAUAAGAAAAUAAAUAUUUGCUCCUUUAAGCAGCUAAUUUUGCAGUAAUUUGUUAUACAGCAAUAGAUAACCAACACAGACCUCAGCCAGUCUAGUAUUGUCUACUGGGGCACUAUCUUUCUUCCUUGGUCUGAUAUCCCUAGUCUGUUUCUAAUUUUUUUGGUUUUUUUUUUUUUUUUGGUUUUUUGAGGCUCACUGCAGCCUUGAACUCCUGGGCGGACUCAAGCAAUCCUCCUGCCUUAGCCUCCCACACAGCUUGAACGACAGAUGCAUGCCACAAUAGCUGGCAAAUUUUAAGAAUUUUGCUAUUGAGAUGGGGGUCUCAACAUCUUGACCAGGCUGGUCUCAAACUGCUGGUCUGAAGCCAUCCUCCUGCCUUGGCCUCCCAAAGCUCUGGGAUUACAGGCACAAGCCACCAUGCCCAGUUUGUUUCUGGUCUUUUUUGAGGUGUGAUUUUCUUUCUCUUUUAAGACCCUGCCUCACCUGUGGGACCUGGCUGAUUUUCUUUUUUUCUUUUUUUUUUUUUUUUGAGACGGAGUUUGGCUCUGUCGCCUAAGCUGGAGUGCAGUGGCGUGAUCUCCUCUCACUGCACCCUCCACCUCCCAGGUUCAAGCAAUUAUCCUGCCUCGGCCUCCCGAGUAGCUGGGACUACAGGCCCACGCUGCCACGCCCGGCUAAUUUUUUGUAUUUUAGUAGAGAUGGGGGUUCACCGUGUUGCUCAGGCUGGUCGCGAACUCCUGAGCUCAGGCAAUCCGCCCACCUCGGCCUUCCAAAGUGCUGGGAUUACAGGCGUGAGCCACUGCGCCUGGCCGGUUGAUUAUUUUUUCUUAACUUUGACCUUUUGCUUUUCUCCUCCGCUAGGAUCCAGCCUCUCCCCUUGGUUGUUGCAGUCCCUGACUGAGGCUUUACAGCCUAGCGCAGACUCCUCGGUUCUCUCCAGCCCCAGAAUAGGAAUUCAGUUCUAGGCUGUGGAUUUCAAAUGUCAGAUAGCCAUUGGUGUCGACGUCUCUUGAUUAAUAUUUUAAAUACGAAAACAAGGCAAAAAAUUUCCCAGGGGAAAAUACUGCGUUUUUGAAUGUGUGUUUUUGAAUAUUCUUACUAUUAAUAAUAUCAUUGUCAUAUUUUAACCUUUCACUUGAGGAACAUAAGGAUUAUAAGAACAUGUAGAAGCAUGGAGGAGAUUUAGGAAAUCUGACUUAUACCUGAUAAAAAUGAGGCCCCUGAGGUUAUGUGAAGUUCCCAAGGUCACUCAGCGCUACGAAAGAGCAUUUCAGUGGAACAAGUAUGUCAAGGAUAAUGGAAGCUGAGAAAGGAUCUUUUGGGGAGGUGGGUGGGGCUUCCCUGAGGACGGCUAUCAUGCCUUUCUGUAUGAGUGAGUCCUAGUCCAGUUACCACAGGCUGGACACCGAAUGCAAUGAAGCAGCGAUAUGACUCGAGAUGCUGUUUCUUAUGUUUUUAUGUUACUUUUAGGUAUGACACAAAGUCUGGAUCAAAUAGCAGCUACUUGGCUGGGCACAGUAGCUCACGCCUGUAAUCCCAGUAAUUUGGGAGGCCGAGGCGGGUGGAUCACCUGAGGUCAGGAGUUCGAGACCAGCCUGGCCAACAUGGCAAAACUCCUUCUCUACUAAAAAUACAGAAAUCAGCCGGCCGUGGUGGCAGGCCUCUGUAAUCCCACCUACUGGGGAGGCUGAGGCAGGAGGAUCGCUUGAACCAGGGAGGCAGAGACUGCUGUGAGCUGAGAUCGCGCCACUGCACUACAGCCUGGGUUACAGAGCGAGACUCUGCAUCCAAAA
rnacentral:lncRNA from 10 species